AACGGCAAGAUUCCCAGGCGGCGAUAUCUGCAUAAUGGGAAAUCGGAAUUGGCAACGAGAGCCACGGAUGUGAACUUGCACGCUCGAGCGACAUGGAAUUUUCGAAUUCCCGAUGAGCCGAGAAGCUUGAAUUUUAAUAGUUUCGUGUCGUAUUAAUUCUGUCGAGAUGGCAACGUUUCCGUUUAUUUUUUAAAAUGAAAUGUACGACGAGACUCAUCUCCGUGGGCUCCAAAAGGAGUUUUUAACGUAGGAGAAAAAACGAAUGGAAGUGAAGACAAAAAACUUGGAUUGCCUGCUCGGCCGCGUCGUGAGUCAACUCAGCCGAACAUCCUCCGCAAUAUUUUCCGCCAGCCACGUGUACUCUGGACGAAAGCUCAAGAGUCACAUGUUCCAAUAUGAAAAGGAACGUGCCCGCAUAUCCGCGACGUAGUUAUAAGGAAACGUAGCAGGAAAGACUCGCCUCCUCGAAGCCAAAGUGACGAUAAAAAAUCUUCGAGAAACGGCGAAACGAGUUUGCCACUCUUGGCUAUGAAGCGAAUAAAAUCGCUGCGACGGAAAAACGUUUUUGGCGAGCUGCGUGAAUAGAUAGCAAGGAAUAUCCUCUCGCGAUGGCCACGUAUGAAGUUUCUCGCGAUAUUAUAACCGCGCGAGUAUGUUGUAACGAAAGAGUACUGCGGUAUCAUCUUUCUUCGUCGUAUAACGUAACGCCGUGCAUCACGCGACGGACCGCAGUGUCCUUGUCACCGUCGUGUCAACAUGAGCGCACAAAAAGACGAUGAAAAUGAAAGAAAACAGUUGCAAAUUUAUGACGCUGAAGUUUGCAACGUUCGAGUCUAACGAAACGAUCUGAAAAAAGUCUCCAAUUCCAGUAAUUUUCCAAUUUCGUUCUCGUAGUUUUUCAAGCUGCACCACGACUCUUGGUGAAAUAAAUAAUUGGUGAAUUACAAAUGUUUUUUUCGUUGGACUGCAACGUUGCAAACUUCAGCGUCGUGAAGAUUUCCGGUUAUCGUACACACUGCGAAAGAAUGAUUUGUCGUGAUUUAUCGCAGGUUUGGUAUAAGACAAAUCGUUCAACUUUUUUUACAUUCAAAGACUAUAAUUCGAAUGAAAAUGAUUGUGUUCUGCGCAGCCGAAAGGUUACGGAAAAUCAAGAAGUAUGUUUUUUCAUAUUUUUUUGGUAAUAUUUUGAUUCUCCGAAGUUUCGACCUCAUUUCACACUCCAGAGGAUAAAAGAAUCCACGAAAUAUUCACAAAAGGUUACACACUCCGAGUGAGAAUCGUCACGGGGCUCGCUAUUACGAUGGAAUUUUGAAAUUUUCACCUGCACUAUCGGGACGAAUAUCUAAUUUUACUUCAUAAUGCAGUAUUCGUCUCGGUACGUGGUAUGGGAAUAUCGGUAAUGCUAGUAUUUCAGAAUAGUGGCGUAAGCCGGAGGCCGUAGUGAAACAAAAGUUGCCGAUUGGCCAACUAGUAACGCUCUGAUUAACGAGUAAACCAUGGCGUUCGGGUUUACAUACUCUAUUCUCGGAUUAUUUUAUCGUCGAAUUCGUCAUACAGCUGACAGCAAAAGAUCGCGUGCUGGCAAUCCGAGUUCUACAGUGAUGGUUUUUUCUUCGUUGACAAAAUCAAUUUUCAUCUUUUAAAGGUUACGUCAUAGUGACAUUUUUUCUCAAAUUUUCUGCACUCGGGUUCCAAUCCCCGUCGUCACUUUAUUUUAAGUUACGAAGCAUUUUUACUGCUCGCUGUGAAGUCAAUGAGCUGAAGCAUCGAUUGAAACAAACCUCCGUGAGCCCUCGAUGUCGAAACAUUGAAACGCACAAUUUUAAAGAGCAAGAAUAAAAAUGGUUAUUGCCAGGGAGUGCGCGACAGUGACGAAUGAUGUGUGAAAAUUCAAAGUUUUCUGUCAACGAAAAAACGGUUAUUUUGUUCCAUUUUUUAUUUUCUCGAAUACUCAACGAUUCUAUCUGCGCAAUAAAUUCAAGUUCGAAUCUCUCUCGCUUAACGAACGUGCCUAUUGAUCAAUUUUCUAAGGACGCCAUCUACCCGAAGCGUCACUAACUACGACUAGCAAUUUGGCAUGCGACGAUAAAAAAGGUCGACUCAAAUCUGCCGGUUCUACUUGACUCGUUGCUUCAAUCGCGCGCAAUUCGAUAUUCGUCCUUUUUAUUUACAAGGUGACUGUUCGCGGAGUGAAGUUUCAAUUCGAAUGAUUAAAAAUCGACGUUCAGAAGCGAGCGCGACGUCUCGGAAGAUGUGCGUCAAAGAUACGAAGUUGUAACGUUUGUACUUUGGAGUCCAAAAAAAAAAAGAGAAACAGCAGAUUUGAAGCGCAGCAGCAAGGAACAGCAGGAUGAAAAAUGGAGGAAAGUUUUAGUCACAAUAAUAGCGAAGCUGGAAAAAGGGCACUGGCGUAUCUAGUAGUUCGAUGACCGUAGCAUGGGCGCGAAUUUCAUCGCGAUAAUCGAUCGCGAGCUAAAACCGUCUAUCAGGAAAACGUUACGUUGGGUAAAGCCACGCUUCGCGUCGGUGUGUUGCGUCGUAUGGACGUCGGGUAGCUGAAUCAGUUAAUUGUAAUUGACGAGGGUUCUGCCAGUGAAGGCGGACAGAAACAAAUCUGUCGUAAGCUUCCCACCGUUGUUGUACUAUAGUUUUAUCGAAAUAAUUGAAUGCUUCGUUACAACGAGAGAAAUCAUCGUGUCUUCCGGCUCUCUAUCUCUCAUCUCAAGACUGAUCUAAACCUUCAUUUUUGCAGCACUCGAAGUCAGUGCCGCUCAUCGCGUAGGCCACGGGAAUUCAAAACAAUGUGAGGUCUAAAUUUACGUGAGUCAAUUGUGACGAAUCUUUUCACACGCGGUUUUCUCAACGAUUUCAUUCACGAGGUGGUUCGCGAAAAGGACUCGCGAAUUGAGAUAUAAAAACUUGAUUUUCUGACGUUUUCUAACGAUAAAAAUCAAUGAGAACUUGAGAAAUGUCAAGUUACGAUUUUGCAUCAACGAACACGUAAAGCUUCAACGAAAAAUUUAUUUCCGUAGUUUUCAUGUACAUUCCCGUACUGUUUUGAUAUUCAAAAAUUCAAAAAAGGUAUUCGGGAACAAACCCUUUAAACUUCCUCUUCUGAAACAUGUCAAACCGAUGAAGUGAUUUUCUGUUGGAUGAGGUUUCCAAAAACAGCGAAACACUGUUGGAAAUAAUGAUAAAUUCGAAGGUAAUGGAACACUCGAAAGUGAAGCAUUUUUAAAAACUAGAACACUCUGUUUAAAAGCGAAGAAGUCGUCGUCAAUUCGUUUAUUCAAGAAAAUUUGCUACGUUCGUUUUAACGGCAUGCCUCGUGUGUUAUCGAAUACAUCGAAUGAGACCUAUCGAUUAUGUAAAUGAAGUGGACUGUAACGAAGAUAAUAGAAACAACGGUUCCUCCCGAUGGUCGGAAGUUAAAUUCGGGUUCCGAGUAGCCGAAUAAUCGAACAAAAUAAUGUCGAACGUUGAAAAUGAAUAUUACAUUUUUCUACAGAUUCGACGAACGAAUACACCGGAGCACUUUUUCACGACACUGUCAUAACAAAAAAUAAGAAGUAAGAAAACAAUAAUAAAUAAAUAAAGUUCUAGAAACGAGGCCUGACAGAUUCGACACGCGGUCGGAAACGACGCGUUCCUCGUCCGACACGACUUCACGGAGGCAAAACUACUACUGAUCGUCGGUCGUCGAAUGAGAAUGUGGCAAACUCGGUAGAGCGCGCGGCGUUGGUGAGCCACCGGUGGCUGCUCGAUGAGCCUACAGUCUUGAGCAAAAAUUCGUGGUGGAGGGGGCGAAAAGAAGUCGCAGAACAACAAUUUUGCUCGGUUGUGGUUCAUGGGACGAACGUCUUUAAUAUCGAACGCUUUACCAAGCAGACAAAAAGCAAAAAAACUCGCAAAUCAAGGACUUUUUUGAAGCACACGAAAAGGGAAAAUGCCGAGGACAUACAUAAGCUUCGAACAAUGAUCGCGGAUGCUUCUGACAUUUUCGAUCCAUGGCCUGUUCCAUAGAUUUGACAUUUCAAGACGACCACGAUACCGAAAACAACGAUUUGCGAGACGAUCGAAAUGGAAAUAAAUGUCGGAAAGUACGGAAAAAUAGUUUUGACGUUCGUUCGAUUUCUCAGGUCUUCGAGUUUUGGAUACACGUCAAUUUUUACUGGCAAUGGAUCGAAAGUUUUGAAAUGAUUUAAAAUGAAAAUAGAUAUCGAAGAUCCACGUACCCGGAUUCAGAUUGCGUCGUCGAGCUCGUGCAGAGCCGUAUUCGAGUCCAGUCUGAGGAAAAGAUUGACGUAAACAAGCUGAUUCGUAAAUUCUCCAGUGAAAUGAUUCAAGUUUGUAGCGCAAAGAAAGUUACGAAUAUUGGGAACAUUGAAAAGUGCAGAAGCGAAAAAACUCCCGGUGCGUUGGAGCAAAAAAAGCUUAAUUGUCAGUAAUUUCGACGUGCCAACGUCCUCACCGUCUGUUCGAUUCAUCGUACGAGCGAUCCUCGCUGCAUUCGUAGUCGAGCAUGAGGUCGUCCGAAGUGAUGGAUUCGCAGGGUGAGAGUGUACCGACGCUUCCGGCACGGCUGAUUCGUCGGCCGUGAAUCGGACUGUUUUCGACGCUGCGUCCCUGCAGUAAACCUGAAAAUAAAAACAAGUGAUUCGAUAGAAUCGAGUCGAGGUACGAGGAGUUCCUGGGAUGGAAACGAGACGCACCUUUGUACGAUAAAAAAACUGGAACGCGGAAGCGUUGAAAAGAGUUUACAAAAUAGCCAAUUUACGAUCCGAAUCGAAGUGACAGGAUGGCUCGCGGUAACAACCGAUUGUGUAUCGGCACCGUUUCUGAGGGUGUCAUCGAAAGUGAGUCCAGGUUGAUCGGCGAUUUCAUCAUCAAAGAAUUCCCGUCCCUCGGAGAGGCUGAGCGAGUUGGAUGC